rnacentral:rRNA from 2 species
GACAUCCUCUGACAACCCUAGAGAUAGGGCUUUCCCCUUCGGGGGACAGAGUGACAGGUGGUGCAUGGUUGUCGUCAGCUCGUGUCGUGAGAUGUUGGGUUAAGUCCCGCAACGAGCGCAACCCUUGAUCUUAGUUGCCAGCAUUCAGUUGGGCACUCUAAGGUGACUGCCGGUGACAAACCGGAGGAAGGUGGGGAUGACGUCAAAUCAUCAUGCCCCUUAUGACCUGGGCUACACACGUGCUACAAUGGAUGGUACAAAGGGCUGCAAACCUGCGAAGGUAAGCGAAUCCCAUAAAGCCAUUCUCAGUUCGGAUUGCAGGCUGCAACUCGCCUGCAUGAAGCCGGAAUCGCUAGUAAUCGCGGAUCAGCAUGCCGCGGUGAAUACGUUCCCGGGCCUUGUACACACCGCCCGUCACACCACGAGAGUUUGUAACACCCGAAGUCGGUGAGGUAACCUU